UACGUAGGUGGCAAGCGUUGUCCGGAAUUAUUGGGCGUAAAGCGCGCGCAGGUGGUUCCUUAAGUCUGAUGUGAAAGCCCACGGCUCAACCGUGGAGGGUCAUUGGAAACUGGGGAACUUGAGUGCAGAAGAGGAAAGUGGAAUUCCAAGUGUAGCGGUGAAAUGCGUAGAGAUUUGGAGGAACACCAGUGGCGAAGGCGAAGUCCCUGGACCAACUCCGUGACACUGAGGCACGAAAGCUAGGGAGCAACAGGAGUUAGAAAGCCC
rnacentral:rRNA from 1 species